GAGCGGAAAGGCCCUUCGGGGUACUCGAGCGGCGAACGGGUGAGUAACACGUGAGCAAUCUGCCCUUAGCUUCGGGAUAGCUCCGGGAAACCGGAAUUAAUACCGGAUAUGACCCCGGCCGACAUCGGCUGUGGUGGAAAGAUUUAUCGGCUAGGGAUGAGCUCGCGGCCUAUCAGCUUGUUGGUGGGGUAACGGCCCACCAAGGCGACGACGGGUAGCCGGCCUGAGAGGGCGACCGGCCACACUGGGACUGAGACACGGCCCAGACUCCUACGGGAGGCAGCAGUGGGGAAUAUUGCGCAAUGGGCGAAAGCCUGACGCAGCGACGCCGCGUGCGGGAUGAAGGCCUUCGGGUUGUAAACCGCUUUCAGCAGGGACGAAGCGAAAGUGACGGUACCUGCAGAAGAAGCGCCGUCUAACUACGUGCCAGCAGCCGCGGUAAU
rnacentral:rRNA from 1 species